rnacentral:rRNA from 1 species
CCUACGGGAGGCAGCAGUGAGGCAUAUUGGUCAAUGGGCGGAAGCCUGAACCAGCCAAGUCGCGUGAGGGAAUAAGGCCCUACGGGUCGUAAACCUCUUUUGCCGGGGAGCAAGGGCGGGGACGUGUCCCGGCCCGGAGAGUACCCGGAGAAAAAGCAUCGGCAAACUCCGUGCCCGCAGCCGCGGUAAUACGGAGGAUGCGAGGUUUAUCCGGAUUUUUUGGGUUUAAAGGGUGCGUAGGCGGGCUUUUAAGUCAGCGGGAAAAAGUCGGGGCUCAACCCCGUCCGGCCGUUGAAACUGGGGGCCUUGAGUGGGCGAGAAGAAGGCGGAAUGCGUGGUGUAGCGGUGAAAUGCAUAGAUAUCACGCAGAACCCCGAUUGCGAAGGCAGCCUUCCGGUGCCCUACUGACGCUGAGGCACGAAAGUGCGGGGAUCGAACAGGAUUAGAUACCCCAGUAGUC